rnacentral:misc_RNA from 1 species
AAGGAAUUCUCUGCUCGUAACGUUAUCCCGAGGUUUGUCUCAAGGUCAUUGUCUGUGAUCAUAGCAACUACAAUAGCAGCAAUGCUUCCAUUUUUUGGAGACAUCAAUUCAUUGAUUGGAGCUUUCGGUUUCAUGCCUCUAGACUUUAUCUUGCCUGUUGUUUUCUUCAACUUGACAUUUAAGCCAUCAAAGAAGAGCUAUAUUUUCUGGUUGAAUACAAGCAUUGCAGUAGUUUUCUCAGCUUUGGGGGUUAUAGCGGCAAUUGCAGCAGUCAGACAAAUUAGUCUCGACGCCAAAACUUAUCGGUUAUUUGCUAAUGUUUGAUCACAUCAGAUGGUAGCGGUAGAAGCUAGUGUGUAUGAUUUAGUGCUUCAGGGAACCUUUGCAAUUGCAAAUGAAACUCUAAUCUUAUCCUGAGGUCACCUCAUGUUGUUGUCUUAGCAGGACUGCAAUCUUUACAAUUGGAGAUUUCGGCUUUAACUGUGCUCAUGUUGAAGCUUUUGAAGAAGAGCACUCAUUGCUGCUUCAGAACCAUUUGUG